AAUGCAUGCUAUAUGUUAAAGAGACACUCUGGGCACCAUAACUACUUCAAUGCAAUGGAAUUGUCAUGAUAUAAGGAGGUCCCAACUUCUGUCCUAAGAGGUUAAAUCCAUACUUUUGGAAAUGUAUUGUUUUUACUCCAUUUCCUCUAUGGGGAGCUAGUGAUAAGCUGCAAGACCAAGCUGACGCUCACAGCCUGUCAACGGUGCCUGGUCCAAGGCUUCCUG